rnacentral:sRNA from 1 species
CGAGUGUCAGAUUUACAAUGUUUCAGAAUCUGAGGAUCUUAGAACUGACUCCUGGAGUCACGGACCCUGAGAGAGUGGAGCAGGGGGUUGUCUUGAGAUGCUUCUCACUGGGAGAGCGGCCAUCUAGUCCCUGCCACCAGCCCCUCCCGGUCCCCAGGUCUCCCCCAGCACAGCCCAGGACAGCCCAAAGGCCACCAAGCCCUUCCUGUCACAGGCUCAGAGCAGCCAAGCUGGCUGCCCCUGGGGCCUUAGCUCAGUCAGGCCCUCAGAAACAUAGCCAUCUCCUCCAGGGACAGCCCCUGGGGUGGGGACAAGAGCCAGUGUCCUCUUGGCAGUCGCAGAGCUCCCUGAGACCUUGGAGGAAAGGCUUGCAACACACCCUAAACAGGGGCAGGGCAGGACACCUUUUCCAAGCCGGCCCAGGCUGGAACACAUGUCCCCUGAGGCUGCACUCAGGGCUCAUGCCCUGCCAGGACCCAGAGCCCGGGGUUGGGGGCCUAGGGCAAGGGCAGCAGGGCCUCUGUCCAGGAGGGGUCUCUGCGGGUGGGGGAGCAGGCCCUGCUGAGUCACCGGGAGGCCUCUGUUGGGCCCGCUGAGCCCGACUCCCUCCCCGCCAGCCCUUACCCUGCGCUGCCACGUGUGCACCAGCUCCAGCAACUGCAAGCAUUCUGUGGUCUGCCCGGCCAGCUCUCGCUUCUGCAAGACCAUGAACACAGGUGAGUAGCAUCUGUCCAGGUGUCCCUCGGGCUGGGGGACAUCCCUGGCUGUUGUGGUUGCUGGCUGGAAGGUUGUGGGGAGGUGGGGGGCAGAGGUGGCUGCCUGGCCUGACCACACUCACCUGUGCCCAGUGGAGCCUCUGAGGGGGAAUCUGGUGAAGAAGGACUGUGCGGAGUCGUGCACACCCAGCUACACCCUGCAAGGCCAGGUCAGCAGCGGCACCAGCUCCACCGAGUGCUGCCAGGAGGACCUGUGCAAUGAGAAGCUGCACAACUCUGCACCCACCCGCACCGCCCUCGCCCACAGUGCCCUCAGCCUGGGGCUGGCCCUGAGCCUCCUGGCCGUCAUCUUAGCCCCCAGCCUGUGACCUUCCCCCCAGGGAAGGCCCCUCAUGCCUUUCCUUCCCUUUCUCUGGGGAUUCCACACCUCUCUUCCCCAGCCGCAACGGGGGUGCCAGGAGCCCCAGGCUGAGGGCUUCCCCAAAAGUCUGGGACCAGGUCCAGGUGGGCAUGGAAUGCUGAUGACUUGGAGCAGGCCCCGCAGACCCCACAGAGGAUGAAGCCACCCCACAGAGGAUGCAGCCCCCAGCUGCAUGGAAGGUGGAGGACAGAAGCCCUGUGGAUCCCUGGAUUUCACACUCCUUCUGUUUUGUUGCCGUUUAUUUUUGUACUCAAAUCUCUACAUGGAGAUAAAUGAUUUAAACCAG